rnacentral:rRNA from 1 species
GACGAACGCUGGCGGCGUGCUUAACACAUGCAAGUCGAACGGUAAGGCCCUUCGGGGUCCCCGAGUGGCGAACGGGUGAGUAACGCGUGAGUAACCUGCCCUUCACUCUGGGAUAACAGUUGGAAACGGCUGCUAAUACCGGAUAUUCAGCUCCUGUCGCAUGGUGGGGGUUGGAAAGUUUUGGUGGUGGAGGAUGGGCUCGCGUCCUAUCAGCUUGUUGGUGGGGUGAUGGCCUACCAAGGCGUCGACGGGUAGCCGGCCUGAGAGGGCGACCGGCCACAUUGGGACUGAGAUACGGCCCAAACUCCUACGGGAGGCAGCAGUGGGGAAUAUUGCACAAUGGGCGGAAGCCUGAUGCAGCAACGCCGCGUGCGGGAUGACGGCCUUCGGGUUGUAAACCGCUUUCAGCAGGGACGAAGCGCAAGUGACGGUACCUGCAGAAGAAGCACCGGCUAACUACGUG